rnacentral:rRNA from 1 species
CCUACGGGAGGCAGCAGUGGGGAAUUUUGGACAAUGGGGGCAACCCUGAUCCAGCCAUUCCGCGUGAGUGAAGAAGGCCUUCGGGUUGUAAAGCUCUUUCGCAAGGGAAGAAAACUUAUGAUCGAAUAAAUCAUGAGGUUGACGGUACCUUGAUAAGAAGCACCGGCUAACUACGUGCCAGCAGCCGCGGUAAUACGUAGGGUGCGAGCGUUAAUCGGAAUUACUGGGCGUAAAGCGUGCGCAGGCGGUUUUGUAAGUCGGAUGUGAAAUCCCCGGGCUCAACCUGGGAACUGCGUUCGAAACUGCAAGGCUAGAGUGUGUCAGAGGGGGGUAGAAUUCCACGUGUAGCAGUGAAAUGCGUAGAGAUGUGGAGGAAUACCAAUGGCGAAGGCAGCCCCCUGGGAUAACACUGACGCUCAUGCACGAAAGCGUGGGGAGCAAACAGGAUUAGAUACCCUGGUAGUCCACGCCCUAAACGAUGUCAACUAGUUGUUGGUAGAGUAAAAUCUAUGAGUAACGUAGCUAACGCGUGAAGUUGACCGCCUGGGGAGUACGGUCGCAAGNUUAAAACUUAAAGGAAUUGACGGNNGAGAGNGCGAGACGACGACGAGGGAGAGG